UUGGGAAUUUUGCACAAUGGGGGAAACCCUGAUGCAGCAAUGCCGCGUGAGUGAUGAAGGCCUUCGGGUCGUAAAGCUCUUUCAGCAGGGGCGAAGGGAAACUUGACGGUACCUGCAGAAGAAGCACCGGCUAACUCCGUGCCAGCAGCCGCGGUAAUACGGAGGGUGCAAGCGUUGUUCGGAAUCAUUGGGCGUAAAGCGCGUGUAGGCGGUUGCCUAAGUCUGGUGUGAAAUCCCGGAGCUUAACUCCGGAAGUGCACUGGAUACUGGGUGACUAGAGGACGAGAGAGGAGAGUGGAAUUCCUGGUGUAGGGGUGAAAUCCGUAGAUAUCAGGAGGAACAUCAGAGGCGAAGGCGACUCUCUGGCUCGUAUCUGACGCUGAGACGCGAAAGCGUGGGGAGCAAACAGG
rnacentral:rRNA from 1 species